rnacentral:rRNA from 1 species
AUUGAACGCUGGCGGCAUGCUUUACACACGCAAGUCGAACGGUAACAGGCCGCAAGGUGCUGACGAGUGGCGAACGGGUGAGUAAUGCAUCGGAACGUGCCCAGUCGUGGGGGAUAACGCAGCGAAAGCUGCGCUAAUACCGCAUACGAUCUAUGGAUGAAAGCGGGGGACCGUAAGGCCUCGCGCGAUUGGAGCGGCCGAUGUCAGAUUAGGUAGUUGGUGGGGUAAAGGCUCACCAAGCCAACGAUCUGUAGCUGGUCUGAGAGGACGACCAGGCACACUGGGACUGAGACACGGCCCAGACUCCUACGGGAGGCAGCAGUGGGGAACUUUGGGCAAUGGGCGAAAGCCUGAUCCAGCAAUGCCGCGAGUGUGAAGAGGGCCUUCGGGUUGUAAAGCACUUUUGUCCGGAAAGAAAUGGCUCUGGUUAAUACCUGGGGUCGAUGACGGUACCGGAAGAAUAAGGACCGGCUAACUACGUGCCAGCAGCCGCAGUAAGAC